UUGGCGGACGGGUGAGUAACGCGUGGGUAACCUGCCCUAUGGAAAGGAAUAGCCCCGGGAAACUGGGAGUAAUGCCUUAUGACAUAGAGAAGUCGCAUGGCUUUUCUAUCAAACGCUCCGGUGCCAUAGGAUGGACCCGCGUCCCAUUAGCUAGUUGGUGAGGUAACGGCUCACCAAGGCGACGAUGGGUAACCGGUCUGAGAGGGCGAACGGUCACACUGGAACUGAGACACGGUCCAGACUCCUACGGGAGGCAGCAGUGGGGAAUAUUGCGCAAUGGGGGAAACCCUGACGCAGCAAUACCGCGUGAAUGAAGAAGGUCUUCGGAUCGUAAAGUUCUGUUAUUGGGGAAGAACAAAGACGGUACCCAAGGAGAAAGUCCCGGCUAACUACGUGCCAGCAGCCGCGGUAAUACGA
rnacentral:rRNA from 1 species